GAGGAGGGGAGUUCCAGAGGAGUACUCCCAUCUGCCUCAGCCUGCCACUGGACCAGGGAAACCAUCCUCCAGGAAAAGGUAAGAACCUGGAGGGUGGCUAAAUGUAUGUCAGUAGGUCUGUCUGUGUGUCAGUAUGUCUGUGUGUGUGUGUAUGUCUGUGUGUGUGUGUGUGUGUCAGUAUGUCUGUGUGUGUGUGUGUGUGUCAGUAUGUCUGUGUGUGUGUCACUAUGUCUGUGUGUGUGUGUGUCAG